CCUGCAGUGGGUACGGGCAGACUAGAGUGCGGUAGGGGAGAAUGGAAUUCCUGGUGUAGCGGUGGAAUGCGCAGAUAUCAGGAGGAACACCGAUGGCGAAGGCAGUUCUCUGGGCCGUAACUGACGCUGAGGAGCGAAAGCGUGGGGAGCGAACAGGAUUAGAUACCCUGGUAGUCCACGCCGUAAACGUUGGGCGCUAGAUGUGGGGACCAUUCCACGGUUUCCGUGUCGCAGCUAACGCAUUAAGCGCCCCGCCUGGGGAGUACGGCCGCAAGGCUAAAACUCAAAGGAAUUGACGGGGGCCCGCACAAGCGGCGGAGCAUGCGGAUUAAUUCGAUGCAACGCGAAGAACCUUACCAAGGCUUGACAUACACGAGAACGGGCCAGAAAUGGUCAACUCUUUGGACACUCGUGAACAGGUGGUGCAUGGUUGUCGUCAGCUCGUGUCGUGAGAUGUUGGGUUAAGUCCCGCAACGAGCGCAACCCUCGUUCUAUGUUGCCAGCGCGUAAUGGCGGGAACUCAUAGGAGACUGCCGGGGUCAACUCGGAGGAAGGUGGGGAUGACGUCAAAUCAUCAUGCCCCUUAUGUCUUGGGCUUCACGCAUGCUACAAUGGCCGGUACAAAGGGCUGCAAUACCGUAAGGUGGAGCGAAUCCCAAAAAGCCGGUCUCAGUUCGGAUUGAGGUCUGCAAC
rnacentral:rRNA from 1 species